UCCAGGGCUACACACGUGCUACAAUGGGUGAUACAGAGUGACGCGAAGCCGCGAGGUGGAGCAAAUCGCAGAAAAUCAUCCGUAGUUCGGAUUGGAGUCUGAAACCCGACUCCAUGAAGGUGGAAUCGCUAGUAAUCGCGCAUCAGCAUGGCGCGGUGAAUACGUUCCCGGGCCUU
rnacentral:rRNA from 1 species